rnacentral:rRNA from 1 species
AGUGAACGCUGGCGGUAGGCCUAACACAUGCAAGUCGAACGGCAGCACAGUAAGAGCUUGCUCUUACGGGUGGCGAGUGGCGGACGGGUGAGGAAUACAUCGGAAUCUACUUUUUCGUGGGGGAUAACGUAGGGAAACUUACGCUAAUACCGCAUACGACCUACGGGUGAAAGCAUGGGAUCUUCGGACCUUGCGCGAUUGAAUUAGCCGAUGUCGGAUUAGCUAGUUGGCGGGGUAAAGGCCCACCAAGGCGACGAUCCGUAGCUGGUCUGAGAGGAUGAUCAGACACACUGGAACUGAGACACGGUCCAGACUCCUACGGGAGGCAGCAGUGGGGAAUAUUGGACAAUGGGCGCAAGCCUGAUCCAGCCAGACCGCGUGGGUGAAGAAGGCCUUCGGGUUGUAAAGCCCUUUUGUUGGGAAAGAAAAGCAGCAGGUUAAUACCCCGCUGUUCUGACGGUACCCAAAGAAUAAGCACCGGCUAACUUCGUG